rnacentral:rRNA from 1 species
GACGAACUGUCCUAACGUUGUUCGGAAUCACUGGGCUUAAAGGGCGCGUAGGCGGUCCGACAAGUCAGGGGUGAAAUCCUGCAGCUUAACUGCAGAAGUGCCUCUGAUACUGUCGGUCUUGAGGGAGAUAGGGGUGUGCGGAACUUCCAGUGGAGCGGUGAAAUGCGUUGAUAUUGGAAGGAACGCCGGAGGCGAAAGCGGCGCACUGGAUCUCUUCUGACGCUGAGGCGCGAAAGCUAGGGGAGCGAACGGG